ensembl:lncRNA
AGGCAAUGGGACGGUCAGUCAGUCAGUCAGACACAUUAGGCAAUGGGACAGUCACUCAGUCAGUCAGACACGUUAGGCAAUGGGAUGGUCAGUCAGUUAGUCAGUCAGACACGUUAGGCAAUGGGACGGUCAGUCAGUCAGUCAGACACGUUAGGCAAUGGACAGUCAGUCAGUCAGACAGACACGUUAGGCAAUGGGACGGUCAGUCAGUUAGACACGUUAGGCAAUGGGUCAGUCAGUCAGUCGACAUGUUAUUAUUAGGGUCUACAGUUUACCUCCGCCCCUUGGUCUAUCCCUCUGACCUGAGGUACGUAGAGGAGUCUACAGUCCAUUACUAAUCAAACAUCGUCUCUCUGUCUGUCUCUCCUUAG